GCCGUUGCUCCUUGCAAAUUCGGGGUUUGUUGGUCCCAAAUUUCGAUGAUACGCUCCUUGACAGGCUGUGUGCGGGUCUGCGAUAGACUGGGUGUUCUGGUAGCCACUCCGAAACAGAAAGUCAAAACAGCGAUGCACGAAGUUGAUAUCAGUUAGAAAAUCAGAAAAAAAUGAUGCUAAUUAUCGGAAUUCUGGUAGCUGUGGUCAUUCUCCUCUAUUUGUUACUGGUGAAACCACUCAGUUACUGGAACGAAAAAGGAGUUAAACAAGAAAGCAUUUUACGAGCCCUCUCGUUCAACUGGUUCUCCAUUUUUGGACGACAAAGUGUGGCCCUUUAUGUGAAGAACAUGUAUGAUCAAUUUCCAAACGAAAGAUACAGCGGAAUUUAUCAAAUGAAUGCACCAGUUUUAGUUAUCAGAGAUCCAGAACUGAUGAAACUCAUCUUGGUCAAGAACUUCGAUCAUUUCACAGACCGACGGACAUAUGUUCCUGAAGACAUGGACCCAUUGUGGGCUAAAAAUUUGUUUGCUCUGAAAGGUUCAAAAUGACGGAACAUGCGAUCCACAUUGAGUCCAGCUUUCACCAGCAGCAAAAUGAAGAGAAUGUUCAUUCUCAUAAAAGAUUGUGCUGAAAGUCUUGUGGAACACUUCUCAAAGCAGAAUCAAGAUAUAAUUUCUCUUGAUAUGAAAGAUACUUGCACUCGAUUCUGUAAUGAUGUCAUUGCAACUACAGCAUUUGGCGUUAAGGUAGACUCAUUGGCAGACCCAAACAACGAGUUUUUCCUAAUGGGAAUGAAAGCUACAAAUCUCAACACGUUGAAGAAAACGUUUCAGUUUUUGGGAUAUCUGCUGGCGCCAAAACUAUAUAGGCUUUUCAAUCUGAAAUUUUUCGACCACGAUGUGAGUUCAUUCUUCAGAAAGUUAAUCGAUGAAACUGUUGAAGCUCGAGAAAAAAGAGGUAUAGUCAGGCCUGAUAUGAUACAUUUAUUGAUGGAAGCACGAUCAGGAAUUGUGAAGGAAGAAGAGAUUAGUGUUGAAGAAACUGGAUAUGCUUCUGUUCAAGAAUCAGUUGAGGGUGACACCAUGACCAAUAUAACAAAUGAAGACAUAACAGCCCAAGCCUUGGUAUUUUUCUUCGCUGGAUUCGAAUCACUAUCAUCCGUGAUGUGUUUCAUGGCAUAUGAAUUAGCCGUUAACCAAGAUAUUCAAGAAAAGUUGAGAAUGGAAAUUAGCGAGAGUUUUGAAAAGUGUGGAGGUGAACUGACCUAUGCCGUUCUAGUGAAUAUGAAAUAUUUGGAUAUGGUUGUGUCAGAGGUUCUUCGGAAGUGGCCGACCCAAACUGCUGCAGAAAGAGUGUGUAGUGAGGCCUACACUAUUAUUCCAACAACUCCAGAAGAACAACCUCUACAUUUAGAAAAAGGAAGUAUUAUUGUUUUUCCUCAAUUUGGAAUUCACCGGGAUCCGAAGUAUUUUCCAGAUCCAGAACGUUUUGAUCCCGAAAGAUUCAAUGACGAAAAUAAAAGCAAUAUAGUACCGUUUUCGUAUCAACCUUUCGGACAAGGACCAAGGAACUGUAUCGGCUCCAGAUUUGCUUUGUUGGAAAUGAAAGUUUUAUUCUUCUACCUCCUGCUGAAUUUUGAAAUUGUACCCAUAGAAAGGACAAGGAUUCCGUUAGUUCUUUCGAAAAGUUCGAUCCUUGUUUCCGUUGAAGGUGGUUUUUGGAUGGGAUUGAAGCAUAUUGAGAAAUGAAUCCUAUAUUUUUCAAAGAGUACUUUCAAAACUAUAUUUAUUUGUAUAAUUGUUAUUGAAAUAAUGAAUUUGUUUGAAUAA